AUUGAACGCUGGCGGCAGGCCUAACACAUGCAAGUCGAGCGAGCGGCGGACGGGUGAGUAAUGUAUGGGGAUCUGCCCGAUAGAGGGGGAUAACUACGGGAAACUGUAGCUAAUACCGCGUACCAUAGGAUGAGCCCAAGUGGGAUUAGGUAGUUGGUGAGGUAAAGGCUCACCAAGGCGACGAUCCCUAGCUGGUCUGAGAGGAUGACCAGCCACACUGGGACUGAGACACGGCCCAGACUCCUACGGGAGGCAGCAGUGGGGAAUAUUGCGCAAUGGGCGAAAGCCUGAUGCAGCCAUGCCGCGUGUAUGAAGAAGGCCUUAGGGUUGUAAAGUACUUUCAGCGGGGAGGCGUUACCCGAAGAAGAAGCACCGGCUAACUCCGUGCCAGCAGCCGCGGUAAUAC
rnacentral:rRNA from 1 species